CAAUCAUCAGUUUGGUGAAUAAGUUCGCAGCUCCUUCUGCCCUGUUAAAGUGUCCGUGGGAAUCCCAAUUUGCUGCUGAUUUGUUGUGGUAGCUCACAGCCUUUGCUCUCUGAAUGAGUGGAUGAACAGCAAAAAGUGGUUUUAGAUAAAAGCUGUUUGUGCCGUCAAAUUUUCCACCUUUUUGUGACUGUUGCUGUUCCUCCACCACAGCCCAGCAAGGGAGCUCUAUGGACGUACAAAGAAGAAAUGAUGUCUUAAAGGCCACUAUGGAAAGGAGCAACACGUUCACCACCGAGUAACCACGUGUAUGUCACCUUGUUGUAUUUUCCCCACUGGUUCCCGUUUGGUAAUGACCCAACGGUACCAGAUUGUUAUGCAAGAAGAUCUAGGAAGAGUGACGGAUUUGCACCUGGAAGCUACAGUUCUGAUUAACUGCGGCUAAUAACCUUUCACUUGGUUCGUUUGAGUUGCAUGAGUUUGGUGUCAAAGAUCAUCGAGAUGUUAUUUCUCAUCUCUGUGCGCGACGAAUACAAUCGGAGGAGUGAAGUACACAGCUGAGGUGCCACAGGUGAGCGCCCUAAGGUGAAGGCAUCAUGAGUCAUAUGGCUCUGUCUGCCCUCAGGAUUAGUUUGAGAUUGAAAGUUUC